rnacentral:rRNA from 1 species
GACGAACGCUGGCGGCGUGCUUAACACAUGCAAGUCGAACGAUGAAGAAAAGAAUUGAAGCUUCGGCAGAAAUUCAUUUCGGAUUAGUGGCAGACGGGUGAGUAACGCGUGAGCAACCUACCUCUUACAAAGGGAUAGCCUCGGGAAACCGGGAUUAAUACCAUAUAACAUUGCGACGAAGCAUUUCGAUGCAAUCAAAGCUACGGCGGUAAGAGAUGGGCUCGCGUCCCAUUAACCAGAUGGUGAGGUAACGGCUCACCAUAGUAACGAUGGGUAACCGGACUGAGAGGGUGAACGGUCACACUGGAACUGAGACACGGUCCAGACUCCUACGGGAGGCAGCAGUGGGGAAUAUUGCACAAUGGAGGGAACUCUGAUGCAGCGACGCCGCGUGAGUGAUGAAGGAAUUCGUUUUGUAAAACUCUGUUCUAUGGGAAGAAAAGGACUGUACCAUAGGAGAAAGCUCCGGCUAAAUACGUG